rnacentral:rRNA from 1 species
AGAGCGAACGCUGGCGGCAGGCCUAACACAUGCAAGUCGAGCGCCCCGCAAGGGGAGCGGCAGACGGGAGAGUAACACGUGGGAACGUACCCUUUGGUUCGGAACAACCCAGGGAAACUUGGGCUAAUACCGAAUAAGCCCUUACGGGGAAAGAUUUAUCGCCAAAGGAUCGGCCCGCGUCUGAUUAGCUAGUUGGUGAGGUAACGGCUCACCAAGGCGACGAUCAGUAGCUGGUCUGAGAGGAUGAUCAGCCUCACUGGGACUGAGACACGGCCCAGACUCCUACGGGAGGCAGCAGUGGGGAAUAUUGGACAAUGGGCGCAAGCCUGAUCCAGCCAUGCCGCGUGGGUGAUGAAGGCCCUAGGGUUGUAAAGCCCUUUCGGCGGGGAAGAUAAUGACGGUACCCGCAGAAGAAGCCCCGGCUAACUUCGCGCCAGCAGCCGC